GACGAACGCUGGCGGCGUGCCUAAUACAUGCAAGUCGAGCGCAGGAAACUGACGGAACUCUUCGGAGGGAAGGCAGCGGAAUGAGCGGCGGACGGGUGAGUAACACGUAAGGAACCUGCCUCAAGGAUUGGGAUAACUCCGAGAAAUCGGAGCUAAUACCGGAUAGUUCAACGGACCGCAUGGUCCGCUGAUGAAAGGCGCUUCGGCGUCACCUUGAGAUGGCCUUGCGGUGCAUUAGCUAGUUGGUGGGGUAACGGCCCACCAAGGCGACGAUGCAUAGCCGACCUGAGAGGGUGAUCGGCCACACUGGGACUGAGACACGGCCCAGACUCCUGCGGGAGGCAGCAGUAGGGAAUCUUCCACAAUGGACGAAAGUCUGAUGGAGCAACGCCGCGUGAGUGAUGAAGGUUUUCGGAUCGUAAAACUCUGUUGUAAGGGAAGAACACGUACGAGAGGAAAUGCUCGUACCUUGACGGUACCUUACGUGAAAGCCACGGCUAACUACGUGCCAGCAGCCGCCGUAACAC
rnacentral:rRNA from 1 species